CUUGUUCUUUCUUGUGGCAACAUUUUUUGGUACAUUUGUUUUUCUUUUUACACAUGCCUUUCUGUGUCUGGACACUCAACAGGGUCACCAUGGAAACGUACUUCUACAUCUAGGCAAUGGUAUAAACGGAUGACCGGCGUUCAGAUGUACAAAGUUAUAGAGCAGAUUUUGGAUCAUAUAGGGUGUGUAUGUUUACUUGUUCUUUCUUGUGAAAACACUUUCUGAUAUAUUUGUUUUUCUUUUUACACAUGUUUUUAUGUAUCUAUACACUAAACAGGGUUACCAUGGAAACUUACAUCUACAUCUAGGCAAUGGUAUAAUUGGAUGACCGGCGUUCAGAUGUACAAAGUUAUAGAGCAGAUUUUGGAUCAUAUAGGGUGUGUAUGUUUACUUGUUCUUUCUUGUGAAAACACUUUCUGAUAUAUUUGUUUUUCUUUUUACACAUGUUUUUAUGUAUCUAUACACUAAACAGGGUUACCAUGGAAACUUACAUCUACAUCUAGGCAAUGGUAUAAUUGGAUGACCGGCGUUCAGAUGUACAAAGUUAUAGAGCAGAUUUUGGAUCAUAUAGGGUGUGUAUGUUUACUAGUUCUUUCUUGUGGCAACAAUUUUUGAUACAUUUGUUUUUCUUUUUACACAUGUUUUUAUGUAUCUAUACACUAAACAGGGUUACCAUGGAAACUUACAUCUACAUCUAGGCAAUGGUAUAAACGGAUGACCGGCGUUCAGAUGUACAAAGUUAUAGAGCAGAUUUUGGAUCAUAUAGGGUGUGUAUGUUUACUUGUUCUUUCUUGUGAAAACACUUUCUGAUAUAUUUGUUUUUCUUUUUACACAUGUUUUUAUGUAUCUAUACACUAAACAGGGUUACCAUGGAAACUUACAUCUACAUCUAGGCAAUGGUAUAAUUGGAUGACCGGCGUUCAGAUGUACAAAGUUAUAGAGCAGAUUUUGGAUCAUAUAGGGUGUGUAUGUUUACUUGUUCUUUCUUGUGAAAACACUUUCUGAUAUAUUUGUUUUUCUUUUUACACAUGUUUUUAUGUAUCUAUACACUAAACAGGGUUACCAUGGAAACUUACAUCUACAUCUAGGCAAUGGUAUAAUUGGAUGACCGGCGUUCAGAUGUACAAAGUUAUAGAGCAGAUUUUGGAUCAUAUAGGGUGUGUAUGUUUACUUGUUCUUUCUUGUGAAAACACUUUCUGAUAUAUUUGUUUUUCUUUUUACACAUGUUUUUAUGUAUCUAUACACUAAACAGGGUUACCAUGGAAACUUACAUCUACAUCUAGGCAAUGGUAUAAUUGGAUGACCGGCGUUCAGAUGUACAAAGUUAUAGAGCAGAUUUUGGAUCAUAUAUGGUGUGUAUGUUUACUAGUUCUUUCUUGUGGCAACAAUUUUUGAUACAUUUGUUUUUCUUUUUACACAUGCCUUUCUGUGUCUAGACACUCAACAGGGUUACCAUGGAAACACACCUCUACAUCUAGGUAAUCUUUCUGUGUCUAAACACUCAACAGGGUUACCAUGGAAACACACCUCUACAUCCAGGCAAUAACCGGCGUUUAGAUGUACAAAGUUAUAGAGCAGAUUUUGGACCAUGUAGGGUGUGUAUAUUUACUAGUUCUUGUGGCAACACUUUUUGAUACAUUUGUUUUUCUUUUUACACAUGCCUUUCUGUUUCUAUACACCCAACAGGCUUACAAUGGAGACGUACCUCUACAUCAAGGCAAUGGUAUAAAUGGAUGACAGGCGUUUAGAUGUACAAAGCUAUAGAGCAGAUUUUGGACCAUGUAGGGUGUGUAUAUUUACAAGUUCUUGUGGCAACACUUUUUGAUACAUUUGUUUUUCUUUUUACACAUGCCUUUCUGUGUCUAUACACCCAACAGGCUUACAAUGGAGACGUACCUCUACAUCAAGGCAAUGGUAUAAAUGGAUGACAGGCGUUCAGAUGUACAAAGUUAUAGAGCAGAUUUUGGAUCAUGUAGGAUAGCUGAAAAGACAUAACAUGAAAUAUGCAGACGACAGACAUGAGGUACAGACGACAUCUGGAUUUUUCCAAACUGGUGACUGAUGUUGACAAAAAGAACGUGUGAGGAUAUCAUGUUGUAUGUAUCACAAUGGUUUAGUGGAUGGUACAGCUAAGGUGCUUUGUAUUGACUACAAACACACGCACGGAUGUCAUGUAUAUUUCACCAUGGAUUAGUGGACGGUGCAGCUGUGGCGGCAGAUGUCGACUAUACAAGCACGUGCAAAGAUGUCAUGUUGUAGAUUUCAAAAUGGUUUAGUCAGGAGGAAAUUUUUAGUUGAUGGAACUACAGUUGUCGUAGGACUGCCUUGCUGGUACCAUGAAGAUGCCGAUAACCCGAGGUGCACUGAUACCCUAUCAAUGCCGGUCACCAGAGACACGCUGGUACCCUGUCAGUGCCGGUCACCAGAGACGCGCUGGUACCCUAUCGAUGCCGGUCAUCAGAAGGACCCCUUAUGUCGACAUUAUAGUAAUCAACUGUUUUCAA